GGAACCCAGCAACUAGUGUUCAGCUCGAUUAGGGCAAACUCGGGCACUUAGCCGUGCAGGAACAAUGGAAGGACAAGGAUGCUAUUUCCUGCAAGAGAAGACAAAUCUGCAUAACAGAAGGGGCCAUAAGACAUGAGAAUGUAGUGCUGGCUUGUAUACCGUGGGUUGAAGUGAAUUGAACAAAACCAUCUGAGGGUUGUUCAGAAGAUAGACGGGAAGAUGGUUUCAGAAAAGUUUCUGUGACCAAAGUUAAUAUAGGAAAUUCCUCUGAUGUUCUUUGAGAAGCAAAAGUAAAUAAUUGGAUGUUUCUUAAAAUACAUUUGGCUGGCAAACUGUGUUUCUUCAAAAUAACAUCAUUCCGGGGUUGAGUCAUCCUUUUGGUUUUUUGGGGUAAUAUGUUAGAGGGCUACCAUCCAGGAUUUUGCAUUUCAGCUCCAGCACCCAGCCAUACUCAGUCAGGAUGAAAGUCAUCACUAAAAAUGUGAGUCAAAAGUGUAUUUUCAUCCUUACUGCCAAGCUGUUGGAACAAUGGAACUGAUGAGGAAGAGUCCAUCAAAUCAGGA
rnacentral:lncRNA from 1 species